rnacentral:rRNA from 1 species
AUUGAACGCUGGCGGCAUGCUUUACACAUGCAAGUCGAACGGUAACAGGCCGCAAGGUGCUGACGAGUGGCGAACGGGUGAGUAAUGCAUCGGAACGUGCCCAGUCGUGGGGGAUAACGCAGCGAAAGCUGCGCUAAUACCGCAUACGAUCUAUGGAUGAAAGCGGGGGACCGUAAGGCCUCGCGCGAUUGGAGCGGCCGAUGUCAGAUUAGGUAGUUGGUGGGGUAAAGGCUCACCAAGCCAACGAUCUGUAGCUGGUCUGAGAGGACGACCAGCCACACUGGGACUGAGACACGGCCCAGACGCCUACGGGAGGCAGCAGUGGGGAAUUUUGGACAAUGGGCGCAAGCCUGAUCCAGCAAUGCCGCGUGCAGGAAGAAGGCCUUCGGGUUGUAAACUGCUUUUGUACGGAACGAAACGGUCCUGGUUAAUACCUGGGGCUAAUGACGGUACCGUAAGAAUAAGCACCGGCUAACUACGUGCCAGCAGCCGCCGUAA